UACGGAGGAUCCAAGCGUUAUCCGGAUUUAUUGGGUUUAAAGGGUGCGUAGGCGGCCUAUUAAGUCAGGGGUGAAAGACGGUAGCUUAACUAUCGCAGUGCCCUUGAUACUGAUGGGCUUGAAUAUACUUGAGGUAGGCGGAAUGUGACAAGUAGCGGUGAAAUGCAUAGAUAUGUCACAGAACACCAAUUGCGAAGGCAGCUUACUAAGGUAUGAUUGACGCUGAGGCACGAAAGCGUGGGGAUCAAACAGG
rnacentral:rRNA from 1 species